rnacentral:rRNA from 1 species
AUUGAACGCUGGCGGCAGGCCUAACACAUGCAAGUCGAGCGGAUGAAGGGAGCUUGCUCCUGGAUUCAGCGGCGGACGGGUGCGUAAUGCCUAUGAAUCUGCCUGGGAGUGGGGGAUAACGUCCGGAAACGGGCGCUAAUACCGCAUACGUCCUGAGGGAGAAAGUGGGGGAUCUUCGGACCUCACGCUCUCAGAUGAGCCUAGGUCGGAUUAGCUAGUUGGUGGGGUAAAGGCCUACCAAGGCGACGAUCCGUAACUGGUCUGAGAGGAUGAUCAGUCACACUGGAACUGAGACACGGUCCAGACUCCUACGGGAGGCAGCAGUGGGGAAUAUUGGACAAUGGGCGAAAGCCUGAUCCAGCCAUGCCGCGUGUGUGAAGAAGGUCUUCGGAUUGUAAAGCACUUUAAGUUGGGAGGAAGGGCAGUAAGUUAAUACCUUGGCGUUUUGACGUUACCAACAGAAGAAGCACCGGCUAACUCCGUG